rnacentral:rRNA from 1 species
AGUGAACGCUGGCGGUAGGCCUAACACAUGCAAGUCGAACGGCAGCACAGUAAGAGCUUGCUCUUACGGGUGGCGAGUGGCGGACGGGUGAGGAAUACAUCGGAAUCUACUUUUUCGUGGGGGAUAACGUAGGGAAACUUACGCUAAUACCGCAUACGACCUACGGGUGAAAGCAGUGGAUCUUCGGACCUUGCGCGAUUGAAUGAGCCGAUGUCGGAUUAGCUAGUUGGCGGGGUAAAGGCCCACCAAGGCGACGAUCCGUAGCUGGUCUGAGAGGAUGAUCAGCCACACUGGAACUGAGACACGGUCCAGACUCCGACGGGAGGCAGCAGUGGGGAAUAUUGGACAAUGGGCGCAAGCAUGAUCCAGCCAUACCGCGUGGGUGAAGAAGGCCUUCGGGUUGUAAAGCCCUUUUGUUGGGAAAGAAAAGCAGCAGGUUAAUACCCCGCUGUUCUGACGGUACCCAAAGAAUAAGCACCGGCUAACUUCGUG